rnacentral:tRNA from 1 species
AUUAGCUCAAUGGUAGAGCAACUGACUCUUAAUCAGUGGGUUCGGGGUUCGAGUCCCUGAU